CUCUCAUCCUCAAAUGAGAAAUGAUACUGGGAUUUCCUACGAGCACAUGUUGAUUAACACGUCGAUUGAUGGUACUUCACUUGAUAUAAGCUGGAACAAGCGGCAGCAUAAAUGGAAAGAAAAACAUUUGCCAGCCUGAGAAAACGAUUUGUGUUUAUGGACGGCUGGCAGUACGGACUGAACUUGUCAAUGCUGCAGAAUAUUUUCGUGUACCCCCAGGCCCUAACGGGUGGAAGGUUAGCAGUUUUAAGCAGUUGCUGACCAACCUGUCAGAAGGAGAGAAUGACAUCCGCUCCUCACAGGCUUCCCCCUCCAGGCCCAGACUGCUCCAGCUACUGCUGUUCCCAUUGCUGCUGGAGAGAGAAGGCAGCUUUACUCAGCAUGCUGACUGGGCACAUUCCUUUAAUAGGAAAGGCUUGUCACCUACCUGAGGCCCGCCGUCCUUGUGCUCUGCCAGCCUGCGGGAGUCUUUGAGCAGCAGAACCUCAUCAUUCUUGAGGCUGUGAACGUGGAGGGACCUGAGAAGCUCACACAGCCCUCCUGACAGAGAUGACAGAGCCUGGGAAAGAAGGCAAUGACAAUGCAUUAGCUUGUAGGUCAAAUGGUAAAUUACAGGACCUAUCAAGAAAUCAUAGGAAAAUUUUUGCUACUAACGUCUAACCCCCUGGGGGGCCACAGCUCAGGUAACUGUUGGACUUUGAUAAAAGCCAGAAUUCCAUCUGUGUUUUUUCACAAAACUGUUUGCCAUUGUUUCAUCUGUACGUUGUAUGUGUAAAUAGGCUUGGUCUGCUGUGUGUGAAUUGGCCCAGAUUAGAGGGGUUAAUCUGAGCAUGUGAAUUUCAAUAUGUGUGUGUUAAUAAUGCCUAUAGAUGUGGGAGAGUGUGGUAUUGGACUAAAAAAGUGUUCUAUAACGUUACUCAAUAUACAUCAGUAAAUAGCCCUUUGUCUGUUCCACUGCAUAUGCCCCACACUGGUGCCUUGAAAUUAUGAGCAAUGUCCCGCCCACAAGAGAAUAUGAUUGACACUGACACCUUCUCAAGUAAAAGUAGAGUAAUAAUUUAAUAUCAAACAUUAAAGAUAAUGUUGAAAAGUU